CCGGCCCCGCCCCGCCCCAGCCGGGAGGUUUACCAGCAAACGAAACCCAAACAGCGUACUCAUGUUCAGGAUAAGUAAACGCUAGGACCAGAGCUGCCAGUCGCACCUGGUCUCCACGGCAACGGAUUAUUUCUUCACGGAAACGAGACCUACAGAAGAAAUUAUUCAAUUAACGAGUGAACAUAGGUUUUACUUUCUUGUUCCCAGGUGGCCCUGGAGCUUAUGAAUGAAGUUCAGGAACAUCUGGAAGAGGAAGAAAGGCUGUGCCAGGCGUCUUUGGCAGAUUCCUGGGGCAAAUGCAAGUCCUGCCUGGAAAGUAGCUGCCUGAGAUUUUAUACAGCCUGCCAACCUCGUUGGACCUCUAUGAAAAAUACAGUAAGGGGAAAUAGAACUCAAGAUUUCAGAGUUCUUAAGGUUGAACAGUUUUUCAGGAAAAUAUAUCAAAAAUAUAUCAAUAUAUCAAAAUAUAUCAAUCAAAAUAUAUCAGUGUUUCCUUUCCAUGAAGAUAAUGAACAAGAUCUCCCUAUUGGUGAGAAGGUUGUUGAAGAAGAUGCACAACUGACCCAAAUAGAGAAUGUAUUCAGCUGAUUAACUGUGGACGUGAGAUUUUUCUAAAACAGGAGUUUUAACAAUCUUCAAAUAUUUGACCAGGCUUUUCAAUCAUAUUUCAUGUCAGAUACAGACUUAAUUGAGCCUUACUUUUCUCCAGCCUUAUCCAAAGAGCCCAUGAAAAAAGUGGAUCUUGUGCAAAGUUGGGACAUUCCCAGCUUCUUCCAGCUGUUUUGUAAUUUCAGUGUCUCCAUUUAUCAAAGUGUCAGUACAACGAUUACUGAGACGCUGAAUGCAAUAGAGGAUUUACCAAAACAAGACAAAGGCAAGUACAGAAAUAUUAUUUUUACUUAGAUGCCUAUAUUAAAGUUAAUUUUUGUUUAACUUUGGAAAUGAUAGACAUUUCUAAGUCAUUGUGCAGUGUUUCUGAGAGUAACAAUUUAUGGAUAAUUAAAGUUUCAGAGCGUCGUAGAAGAAGCUUUGAAGUCUGCCAAAUACCAUCUCUCUUCCAUCAUGGUCAAGAGCUCUGUGAGGCUGUUCUCUCUUUAUAAAGCACAUUUUCAAAGCUGAAAAGAAGAUGUUAGUAGACUGAGAACUUGAAAAAAAACCAGUUACCUCCUUUAUUAAAACUCGUGUGGGUGCUCAGCUUUAUUCUGCUUGAGCAUCAUGGGAUUUCUUUAAAAUCAGUCUAGGCUCCUCAACUCCCAAUUUGGGAAGAAGCCUAGUGUCACAUAUAACAGGUCACAUGUCGUGCCUUCCAUGACCUUCUUGACAUCACUGCUGUAAUUCCAUAUCAUAACAUUUAUGCACAAAACCGUAGAAAAUGCUCAUAGACAAACCCAAAACUAUAGAAAUAGGAAUUUCUGUAAAGGAUAAGAAUUGGUAUUCUACCAGUACCACUCAGGCCCCCUGAUAUUCCAUGUUGGAAAAACAAUGCUGCUUUAUGUUUAAGGCAGAAGGAGAUACCGUCUUCAGGCUUCUGUGGAGUGGCUGGGACACAGCGUCUCAGAAGUGAGAAUUGCCGUGUGGGCAACUGUAGGACUGGUGUUUCCUUGGACUUAUCUCUCAUUGACCACUAGGCCAAGUAAAAGGCUGCUCCCCUCUGACGUGAAAAAUAAAAUGGGCUCCUUCUAAGAUCCUGCCAUUUGUGACGAUGUGGACAAACCUGGAGGACAUUAUGCUAGGUGAAAUAAGCCAGACACAGGACAAAUACUACAUGAUCCCACUUAUACGAAGAAGCUAAAAUGGUCAAACCCAUAGAGGCAGACAGUGGAAUGGCGGUUGCCAGGUACAGAGGGGAGGGAGGAACAAGGAGGUGGUGGUCAAGGGUACAAAGUUUCAGUUAUACAAGAUGAAUAAGUCCCAGAGAUCAGCUGUACAGCAUAGUGCCCAUAGUUAACAAUACCAUAUUGUAUAAUUAAAAAUUUCCUAAGAGGCUAGAUCUUAUAUUAAGCAUUCUUGUCACAAAUAAUAAUAAAUGAGAGAGCAGGAGGAAACUUUUGGAGGUGAUAGAUAGUUGUAUGGCAUAGGUUGUGGUGAUAGUUUCAUGGGUGUAUACUUAUCUCCAAUAUAUACAUUGUAUAUAUCGUAUAUAUACAAUAUAUACGAUAUAUACAACUCA